CUUUAAACACCAUCAGCGUUGGACCCGCGAUUUAAAGAACUGCCCUACCUGGAAAAAGAGGACAGAGAACAGGUCUACACAAAACUGGUUUUUGAGGCAGAAGUGUCCCACCAGAUGCAAGCAAUUGGAAAUCAGGAGGAAGACGAGGGAAGCUCAAGCACAAAGCUGUCAGGAUUCAAUGAAGAGACCACAGCUCCAAAUGAGUCACCUCCUUGUAAGAAGAAAGCCUUAGAUGCGCUGUUUGGCGAUUCCUUCACCCAAAGAGAAAGAAAAUCCACAAGCGAGACAGCCAGAGCAGAGGUGUUAAAGUACCGAGCAAAAGAUGCGUUGCCUUUGACUGAAAAUGCCAUGAAGUGGUGGAGAUCUCAGGAGAAAGAGCUACCU